GCCACAAACCGAUCAAAGGUGAAAGUGACGGUGAACCAGACAGAGCAGUCAGUGGCUGCAUAAAGCAGGACGGCGUGGAUAUUACACACGGGGACGGAGUACACCAGGAAAUAAAACUGUUCCUUAUAAACAAUGGGAAUGUGUCUCAGGAUCAGGUCGAGGAUAAUGACCAGGAGAUCCGCCGCUGCCAUGGCCCCCAGGUAUCUGUGUUACCUGUUUGGAUACAGGAUUGGCUGGCCAGCAGAAGACAGCAAGUGGUAGCGGAAGGAAAAUAUUCUGCCUGGAAGUCUGUGAAUCUCAGCAGUGUGGAAACAAGCCCUUCGGCCCAACAAGUACAUACCAACUUUCCAAAGAGUAACCUUCCCAUGCCCUUACAGUUACCACUGACUAGUGCACCUAAAGUAGAAAUCGCGGAACACGAUGGACUAUUUGACCAAUCCACUUGAAUUAUACAGCUUUGGGCUGUGGCAGGAAACGGGAGCACCCAUCAGAAGCUCACGCAGACAAGGGGAGAAGAUCCAAACUCCACGCAGAUAGUCACCCGAGGCUGGAAUUGAACUCAUGACCCUGAUGCUGUGAUGGAACAGUGCGAACUACUGAGCCACUGUGCUAACCUGGAACCUCCUGCCAGCCUAAUGCAAAGGGAAUUCAGCCAAAUCCAACUCUCCCAGGAUAAAAUCCCAUUGCUAGCAGCUGUGUGAGUAGAAUAUCUUCAGAAGCAGAAUCACAUUUUGGACAAUCUCUCAAUUUUUCCUUUUGUCAUGAGUUACACUAAUAUUUGGAUAAGGUUCUUUCAACGUGAAAUUGCACAGAUUUGUGUGUGUGUGUGUUUGUGUGUGUCAGUGUUUUUAGAAUGGGAAAUAUCGAGUCUUUAUUUGCAAUACGCAAACAGUUUGCCAUCCAUCUUUCCAUCAUAGUUGGAGUAACAUUGCUCUGGAUCGUAAACGUGUUGUUUUAGCAGAUUACAGAAACUAGCCUGACUUGUUCCUAAAACUGACCCUGACCCAGUCUGAGACCGAUAUCAUCGGCCAUAUCACCGACCUGGUUACAUUUAACAUUUGUUGUGAGCAGUGGGGGAGUGGGACUAGAAAAGGAAACAGUGACCCAAAAAGCCGGGGAACUAUAGACCGGUGAGCCUGAUGUCAGUGGUGGGUGAGUUGUUCGAAGGGAUUCUGUGGGAUAGCAUUUACAUACGUUUGGGAAGGCAAGGACUGAUCUCAUUAAUGUGUCAUUAAUUUGAUUGAGUUUUAUGAAGAGGUGACAAAGAAGAUUGAUGAAGGCAGUUUGGUAGAUAUUGUCUAUAUGGACCUCAGCAAGGUGUUCAUAACAUUCCGAUUGGUAGGCAGAUUAGUAAGGUUCGGUCACAUGGGAUACAGAAGAAGCUCAUCACAAUUGGCUUGAAGGAAGAGGGAUAUUUUUCAGACUGGAGGCUUCUGAGCAGAAAUUAUACACUUAAUGGUAAGGGCCUGGGGCGUGUUGUGAAACAAAUGGACAUAAGGCUGCAGGUACAUUGUUCCUUGAAAGUGAAGUUGAAUGCAGACAGUGCGGUACAGAACACAUUUAACACAUUUGCCUUAAUCAGUCAGAGCAUUGAGUAUAGGAGUUGUGGUGGAGGGAAAUGGGGUUAGCGUGGAUGGACAUUUACAAGGUGGAGUCGAACCCUUCUGUUAAUUAAAACCAAACACCCAGAAAAGCUCGCCUCACCUCGUAAUCUGUUAAAAUAUGAGCGACACAGAUCUCCCACAUUCCACUAUUUAAACAAAGAUUAACAAGUUUAUUUCUUAACUUUAUUAGUGAACACUAAACAACAGCUAUUCACAAAUACAAGCCCCUCUUUUCUUAGCUACUUACUAUCUGACUCGAACUCUGUAAAAAGUAUGUUGUUCCAACAACCCACAUAUUAAACAUUACAAUCUCAAGACCAUACAGUCUCUAUCUUCCCCGCUGUAUUCACUCUUUCAGCUGCUGAUCUCCUUGGUUCAUUUUUUUUAUUGCAAAGAGGUUUGCAUGAACAUGUGUCUUUGAUAGAGUGUGUUUGAGAUGGUCAGUUAGCACUCCUGCUCUACAGCAGUUGCUCUACUGUUGGAUGGCAGUAGCUCUCUCUAGUGUUCAAAAUGCUGGGUUUAUAUACUCCCCAUGAUAUAAUAAUUCUCAUAAUUUGAUUGCUUUCCAGGCGUCCAAACAAUAAUAUUCAAAUUCUGUUGGCUUCUGGUAUCCUGAGUGUUAUUUAAACUCUUUGGUUACAUUUGUAUGGCUGUCAAAACAGCAACCAAAACUCAGGAAUCCAUUUCUCAGCUAAUGGUGACAUGUGGAACAGUGUGACCUUCAGCUGGCAUCUGUGGCUUUAAUUUCUACUCAGUAAAACUCGAUCUGUUUUAAAGUGUCCAUAUAUGUUUUUGUCUUCAUAACAUCUCCCCGCUUCAGAAAAUAAAAUGAACUAGCUGAAUGAAAAGAUGUCAACAUUUGUUUUCCUCUAACUCUUAAUCCCAAUUUUAUGAAAUACCAAAGUGUUAAUCUCAGUUAUAUCAUUCAUAUUAAUUCUGCAAACCAAUACAACACUGGAAUAAGUCAAAUCUUAUCUACACUUUUUCCUUUAAAUCCGCGAAUACAUAUCUGCUAUCACAUUAUAGGAGACACAGCAUGAACACUUUGUAAGUUUAAAGUUGGUAAGGUAAGACUCCAAUGAAAUAGUCUCAUAUUCUGGUCUUUAAAUAUUCCAAAAAAUGCGAGAGAUUUGUCGUUGUCCACAACCAUCUCCGACAAUUUGUUUGUCAUAUACACAUUAAAAUAUCGUCAGGCCAGUGUGCAACAUAAUAAUUCUUGUUCAAUAAUGGAGAUUUUCUAUUUUUUUUCUCUGUUGGAUAUUGAGUUUUUUCGACAAGUAGCCAAUUAGCCAUUCAAUUCCAUCACCUUUUUCCAUAUCAACACAUCUCUGACCCCUAUAUCCCGAGCAUCAAACACAAUUUUCAAAGGGUUUCAGAAUAUUUGGUGCAGCUAAAACUGGUGUAGUGAUUAAACCUGCUUUAAAAUUCUCAAAUACCUCCUGGCAUUGUUCUGUCCACCACAAUUCUGUGUUCUUCUUCAGUAAAUCCAUCAGUGUUGCCAAGACGCUGCUGAAGUUUUGAACAAACUUCCGAUAGAAUCCACUCAGUUCCAAAAAUCAAAGCACCUCGUUCUUCGAGGAUGAUCGUGGAAAUUCCUCAAAGCCCUUCGUUUUUGUGCUCCAUGGGGUCAACCUUCCAUGUCGAAUAUAAUGUCCCAAGAACAUCACCUCCGCCUUCGCGAAUUCCAUUUUCUUUCUGUUUAUUACCAAGUUUGCUUCUUGUAAUCGUUCAACAUGCUCUGCCAACUGUAACAUGUGAGCUUUUAAUCACUUGCUGAAGAUCACUACAUCAUACAGAUAAGUUGCACAAUUUGUUCAUAUGGCCACCCCUCUAUUCUUGAGUGUUAAAUGUGGCUGGUGCAUUAUUCAUCCAGAUGAAAUACUCGACAAAGUUUUUUUGUCAUCUCCGGUAUCUUUACCAGGAAGUUUAACUGACUUCACACUUUUUUUUAAUUUGAAAGGGGCCUGGCUUUGAAUGGUUUUCUUACCACUGGUGGCGAAACUAAUACGUCAUCCCCACGGGAAAUCGUCAAAGUUUCAGAGUUUUUAUCUGCCACCUGCGUCACUCUACACUGUGCCCUCUUCAUGUGCUGUUUAACUAACUCACCUACUCGGUCUAAUCUCUCUCUCACCUCUGAUACAUAAUCCAAGUGUGAGAUCUCCGACUUUGGUCCUGUCAAUUUAUAUUUAAUUAGUUUCUAAGGACCUCUCACUUCAUGUACGAAUAUUAAAUCAAAGGAAGUAAAGUGAGUAGAUUUAUUUGGGGCAUCUCUAAUUGCAAACAAUUUAAUGGGGCACCUUUAUCCCAACCAUUCGGGUAAUCCUGACAGUACGCUGUUAACAUGGUCCUCAGUGUCUGAUGCUAACUUUCCAAGGCUACCUGGGAUUCAGGAUGGGACGCACUUGAUUUGAAGUGCUGUAUGCCUAAGAUAUCCAUGACUUCCUCAAACAGCUGAGCAAUAAAAUGAGACCCUUGGUCUGACUGAAUCUCUCUGGGCAGUCCACAGCGAGUAAAGAAAGCUACCAAUCCCUCCACCUUCAUUUUUGCCUUAACACUCCAAUAAUGGAAUUGCCUCUGGAAAUCUGGUAGACGCAUCCAUUAUGGUCAGCAAAUAUUGGUUUCCACUUUUACUUUAGAGAGGGGAGCUACACAAUUAAUCAUAACCCACAUGAAGGGUUUCUCGAAUGCAAGAAUUGGCAACAAAGGUGCUGGUUUUAGUACUGCCUGUGACUUACCGACCAUUUGGUCUGUAUGUCACGUACAACAAAAAUGAACCGCGUCCUUGUGCAUUCCAGGCCAUUAGAAAUGCUUCUGUACCUUAGCCUGAGUCUUCUGUACACCUAGGUGACCGCCUGCAGAGAGUUUAUGUGCGACCCGUAACACUGUACAUUACUGCUAACACAAUCUCGUGCACUUCGGACCAUUUCCCUUCUGCAGUAACCUAUCAUGGUCUCCAUUUUAAUUUUAUGAUUCUAUGUUUAAGUUAAUAACGUUCAACAAUAUAUUCUGAUUCCUUUUCUGUGUGUGUGCAUGUAUAUGUGUGUGUGAAUGUGUGUGUAUAUAUCUGUUGUAAGUCCAUUAGACUUUCUGGACUAAACAGCUCUGCCUGAUCCUCUGCCUGUUCAGGUUUUUCCUGCACCGUUACAUCAAACAGGGUGUCAGUUCACUGAGCAUCAACUCAUUUGUCUUUUGAGUUCAUUUCUUCUUCCUGCUGUAACUUAUGACAGUGGGAUCUUGUUACUACACAGUCUGGAAAAUAUCCUGGGUAAUUUUCCUUUAACUCACCAAUUCCCUCAUCUUCCUUUGUCUUCUCCACCACAAGAGGUGUCCCUCCCAACUUGCUUCCUGCUAAAUCGUUCCCAAGAACAAGUUCUAUUCCUAGAACUGACACUCUGUUACUCACUGUCACUGUUACUUCCCCAAACUUGAUUUGGCAUUCCAUCCUGAUGUUACACAAGGGAAUGCUUAAUUUCUGUCCCCAUUCCACAAGUUAUCACGUUCUUGAUUAUAAUGCCAGAAAGAAUGAAAAAAAAACCUUUCAACUCUUACUAUUAGAGGGUGAGAGAAAGUGAGGGCGGCAGAUGCUGGAGAUGAGAGUUGAAAAGUGUGGGGCUGGAAAAGCCCAUCAUGUCGGCAGCAUCCGAGGGGCAGGAGCGUUGACGUUUCAGGCAUCAAUCCUUCAUUAGGAAAAUUGGGCGUAAGGGAGGGUGAAGGAGGUUGAGAAAUAAAUGGGAGGGUGGGGGGUGGAGCUGGGUGAAAGGGAGCUUGGAAGGCAAUUAGUAGAUGCAGGUGCAUUGUGAUGGUGAUAGGUCGGAGAGGAGGGUGACAGGACACCUAUCGGUGGUAGGACAGCUGGAACCCUCAAACUGUACAGCAUCAACGUUGACUUCACCAAAUUCCAAAUCUCCCCUCCACCAACCUCUCCUAGAUCCAACUGUUCAACCUAGCAUAGCCCUCUUGAACUGCCCUAACUGUCCAUCUUCCUUUCCACCUAUCGAUUCCACCCUCCCCUCCGACAUAUCACUGUCACUCCCACCUACAUCUUCUUAUUGCCUUCCCAGUGACCCUCCCACCAGCCCAGCUACUACUCUCGUAUUUAUCUUCCAGCCCCCUUGUCCCCCCACCACGUUCCGGACAAUGGGUUUCUGCCUGAUAUUCGAUUGUCCUGCUGUUCGGACGCUGCCUGAUCUGAUGUGCUUUUCCGGCGCCUCACUUCCCAACUAAUAGAGAGUGAGCAGAUCCCUUAUCUCACAAAAUUAUAAUUUCUUAUCCUUCUCCCCCUGUUCUUUCUGAGUAAACUUUACCUACAGAGGCGAAUUCUUUAGAGAGAUCAGGCACUGCCUCCAUACCCAGCCCUUGCCGAGGCUGUGCAAUGUCCUGCAGCUCCUCGGCUGCACUUGGGGUUUCCUUUACCAGUUUUACAAAUGCCACUGGCUUAGCCUCUUCUACCGCAUCUUUCGCCAAAAUGUCUUCCUUUAACGCCCAGCACGGUGUGUCCCAGCUAACUGCAGUGAAAACAACUUUUUCCCUGUGCCCUUCUUAAACCAUCGGCACUGUAAUAUUAUGUGUUCCACUCCCUUAUAGUGAGAGUACCUGAGGCCUUUCACCACCUUUCAACCCCCUUGGGCUCCUUUCUUCACCUGUGGUAAACUAUUAUGAGCUACUGUUCGCUGUGUAAUGUGUGAUCUUCCCUUCUCCCAAUUUCUAUCCCUCACAGGAUGAAAUUCUUGCCAGAAGCUAAAUUGCAUCACAUGCCACAAUGCAUAGUUACCUGCCAUUUCUGCGAGCUUCUCACUUCUUGAACUUUCUAUUCAUUCACAUGACUUUUUCCAAUCUCUGGAAGUGAGUCUUUUAACUUCUCCAGCUGAUUAAUCUUCCUUCAAGCCUCACAGGUCUUAUCCAUUUUUAAGGCCAUAACCCACCUAUCAAAAUGACUGUGGUUAAUUCUUUCAAACUCAAUGUAAGUCUGACCUGGUUCCGUCUUUAUUUUUCCGAAUUUCUGUCUAUAUGCUUCUAGUACCAAUUCAUAACGAAUCAAAAUAGCCAAUUUGACAUCUUGAUAAUGUCUGGAUUCCUCGUCUGACAGCGCUGCACAUACCUCACUAGCUGUGCCCACCAGAUUAGUCUGAACUAGCAUUACCCAUAAGUUCACUGGACACGUCAUCUGCCGUGUCAUUUUUUCAAAUGAAAUAAAAAAAGGUUUUGACAUUUUUCUCACCGAAAUAUGGCAAGUUACUAACCUAGUUGAAUACAUCCCUACGUUCUCCCUUCAUCUCCAUCUUGUUAAUUUAACUUUCUUACCUAAUUCCCAACUUCUGAAUUUCAAUUGCCCUCUCUAAUUCUUUCUCUUCGCUUUCUCUUUUUUCUCUCUCUGUUUCCGCCCCUUUACUUAUCUUCUAACUCCAGUCGCCACAUUUGCAAUUUAAGUUUUUAUAACUCUACUGCAGUUGCCUAUUUCUCUGAUACAUCAAAGUGCUUGACCAACUCCAUUACAAUUUCAGCUUCCCUUUCUCCCUGGUUAAACCCAAUUCCAACCUAUUGGCUAAUUCUAAAAAAUGUCCUCCUUCUGUAUUUCGAAGUUUCCUUGGAAAAUUCGGGAACCUCUUCAGUAAUGUUAAAAGCCAUUUCCCUCACGUUUCAAUUAACCAACCACAAGUAACAAAAUUAAACGAAUUUUCCCAAUGGUUUCAUUUGAAGUUCAAAGUUGCAAUGAGUUGGAAUUUGCUGGGAUCUGUUGUAUCACAGAUCUGUUCAAGUCUGUCCAAAUGCCAUAUGGCAAGGCCCCAAACUGUUAUAACAUCAAUGUCAAACCCCUCUGUUAAUUAAAACCACAUACCCAGAAAAGCUCACCUCACAUCAUAAUCUGUCAAAAUGUGAGCGACAGAGAACUCCUAAAUUCCACUAAUAAACAAAAAAAAAACAAUUUAUAUGUAUGCAAGUUAGCUCACUGAGCUUGACAGUAUGUUUUCAGAAGUUUCGUCACCAUGACUAUGUUUCUUACAUUGGGUGAUGCCAUUUCCGGUUAUUUUAACAAUAGUAUGUAGACAGAAUCUAAAUUGAUGAGCUUAUUGAUGGACUUCUGCUUAGAAUACCAUUUCUCUAAGAAGGUCCUUGCGUGUCUUAGUAUGUGUGUGUGCUUUGUCCCAAUCAAAGUGGUGCCCUUCUUUUUCUGUAUGUAUGGAACAUAGUGAUAGUGCGUUAUGUCUUUUGAUGACUACUUGGUGUUCAUGUAUCCUCGUAACACGACAACAGGACAGUUUCAAUGGUGGAAAAAAGAUUUUAUAUACACUGUUUAAUCAAUGUGUGUGUGUG